ensembl:miRNA
UUGAGCGAGAGGUUGUGGCGCACCGAGUUCUUCCAGCCCUGGUAGGAGCCGCGGAAGAAGGGGAAGCGACUCUGCAGGAACUGGUAGAUCUCGCUGAG